rnacentral:rRNA from 1 species
GAUGAACGCUAGCGACAGGCCUAACACAUGCAAGUCGAGGGGCAGCACAUGAGUAGCAAUACGAUGGUGGCGACCGGCGCACGGGUGAGUAACACGUAUGCAACCUGCCUGUAAGAGGGGAAUAACCCGGAGAAAUUCGGACUAAUACCGCAUAAUACCACGAGACUGCAUGGUUUUGUGGGUAAACAUUUAUGGCUUACAGAUGGGCAUGCGUAUGAUUAGAUAGUUGGUAGGGUAACGGCCUACCAAGUCUACGAUCAUUAGGGGUUCUGAGAGGAAGGUCCCCCACACUGGUACUGAGACACGGACCAGACUCCUACGGGAGGCAGCAGUGAGGAAUAUUGGUCAAUGGGCGAGAGCCUGAACCAGCCAAGUCGCGUGAAGGAAGAAGGUUCUAUGGAUUGUAAACUUCUUUUGCAGGGGAAUAAAGGACGGUACGUGUACUGUUUUGUAUGUACCUUGCGAAUAAGGAUCGGCUAACUCCGUGCCAGCCGCCGCUGUAACAC